rnacentral:rRNA from 1 species
GAUGAACGCUGGCGGCGUGCUUAACACAUGCAAGUCGAACGAAGCACUUUAUUUGAUUUCCUUCGGGACUGAUUAUUUUGUGACUGAGUGGCGGACGGGUGAGUAACGCGUGGGUAACCUGCCUUGUACAGGGGGAUAACAGUUGGAAACGGCUGCUAAUACCGCAUAAGCGCACAGCAUCGCAUGAUGCAGUGUGAAAAACUCCGGUGGUAUAAGAUGGACCCGCGUUGGAUUAGCUAGUUGGUGAGGUAACGGCCCACCAAGGCGACGAUCCAUAGCCGACCUGAGAGGGGGACCGGCCACAUUGGGACUGAGACACGGCCCAAACUCCUACGGGAGGCAGCAGUGGGGAAUAUUGCACAAUGGGCGAAAGCCUGAUGCAGCGACGCCGCGUGAGCGAAGAAGUAUUUCGGUAUGUAAAGCUCUAUCAGCAGGGAAGAUAAUGACGGUACCUGACUAAGAAGCACCGGCUAAAUACGUG